GACGAACGCUGGCGGCGUGCUUAACACAUGCACGUCGAACGGAAAGGCCCUGCUUUUGUGGGGUGCUCGAGUGGCGAACGGGUGAGUAACACGUGAGUAACCUGCCCUUGACUUUGGGAUAACUUCAGGAAACUGGGGCUAAUACCGGAUAGGAGCUCCUGCUGCAUGGUGGGGGUUGGAAAGUUUCGGCGGUUGGGGAUGGACUCGCGGCUUAUCAGCUUGUUGGUGGGGUAGUGGCUUACCAAGGCUUUGACGGGUAGCCGGCCUGAGAGGGUGACCGGCCACAUUGGGACUGAGAUACGGCCCAGACUCCUACGGGAGGCAGCAGUGGGGAAUAUUGCACAAUGGGCGGAAGCCUGAUGCAGCAACGCCGCGUGCGGGAUGACGGCCUUCGGGUUGUAAACCGCUUUCGCCUGUGACGAAGCGUGAGUGACGGUAAUGGGUAAAGAAGCACCGGCUAACUACGUG
rnacentral:rRNA from 1 species